rnacentral:rRNA from 1 species
GAUGAACGCUGGCGGCGUGCCUAAUACAUGCAAGUCGAGCGAAUGGAUUAAGAGCUUGCUCUUAUGAAGUUAGCGGCGGACGGGUGAGUAACACGUGGGUAACCUGCCCAUAAGACUGGGAUAACUCCGGGAAACCGGGGCUAAUACCGGAUAACAUUUUGAACCGCAUGGUUCGAAAUUGAAAGGCGGCUUCGGCUGUCACCUAUGGAUGGACCCGCGUCGCAGUGGCUAGUUGGUGAGGUAACGGCUCACCAAGGCAACGAUGCGUAGCCGACCUGAGAGGGUGAUCGGCCACACUGGAACUGAGACGCGGCCCAGACUCCGACGGGAGGCAGCAGUAGGUAAUCUUCCGCAAUGGACGAAAGUCUGACGGAGCAACGCCGCGUGAGUGAUGAAGGCUUUCGGGUCGUAAAACUCUGUUGUUAGGGAAGAACAAGUGCUAGUUGAAUAAGCUGGCACCUUGACGGUACCUAACCAGAAAGCCACGGCUAACUACGUGCCAGCCGCCGCAGUAA